CGUUCGCAAGAAUGAAACUCAAAGGAAUUGACGGGGGCCCGCACAAGCGGUGGAUUAUGUGGUUUAAUUCGAUGAUACGCGAGGAACCUUACCAAGGCUUAAAUGGGAAUUGACAGACGCAGAAAUGUGUUUUUCUUCGGACAAUUUUCAAGGUGCUGCAUGGUUGUCGUCAGCUCGUGCCGUGAGGUGUUAGGUUAAGUCCUGCAACGAGCGCAACCCCUGUUACUAGUUGCUACCAUUAAGUUGAGGACUCUAGUAAGACUGCCUACGCAAGUAGAGAGGAAGGUGGGGAUGACGUCAAAUCAUCACGGCCCUUACGCCUUGGGCCACACACGUAAUACAAUGGCCGGUACAGAGGGCAGCUACACAGCGAUGUGAUGCGAAUCUCGAAAGCCGGUCUCAGUUCGGAUUGGAGUCUGCAACUCGACUCUAUGAAGCUGGAAUCGCUAGUAAUCGCGCAUCAGCCAUGGCGCGGUGAAUACGUUCCCGGGCCUUGUACAC
rnacentral:rRNA from 1 species